UAAAGAAAGUAAGAAAGGGCGUAUGGCGGAUGCCUAGGCUCACGGAGGCGAUGAAGGACGUGAUAAGCUGCGAUAAGCUUCGGGUAGGUGCAA
rnacentral:rRNA from 1 species